GGGGCUGUACCGGUUUCGACGGGGGAUGGAUUGGCGAAAUAAGCGAGCCGGGAUCCCACUUGCCCGUAAAACAGUGGAAACAAAUUAAUUUGCCAAAACAAAUUCUUCUUUAGCUGCUGCUUAAGCAGUCUAACCCUGUGACCGCCUGGCCUGUAGGGUAGUUUACAGGGUCAUGCAUACAGGCUGCCUCCGACGGCUUUUCCCGUCCGGCGGAGGGAGAAACAGGGAAUAGCGUCGAUUCAGGCCGUUGGCAGCCGGUUUCGCCGCGAAUACAAAGUGCCAACUGCGCUCGGAGAAGGUUUUGUGGAUCCUCUUUCGGACAGGAGUUCGACUCUCCUCAGCUCCACCA
rnacentral:tmRNA from 1 species